rnacentral:tRNA from 1 species
ACUGCCAUUAGUACACGUGAUAUCAGUAUUACCUGUAUUGAAGUAAUCAAAAAAUACUGAAUUUUCAGGGUCAACA